GCUUACGGCCAUACCACCCUGAGAACGCCCGAUUUCGUCUGAUCUCGGAAGCUAAGCAGGGUCGGGCCUGGUUAGUACUUGGAUGGGAGACCGCCUGGGAAUACCAGGUGCUGUAAGCU
rnacentral:rRNA from 1 species